rnacentral:rRNA from 1 species
UACAGGGGGGGCAAGCGUUGUUCGGAAUUACUGGGCGUAAAGGGCUCGUAGGUAGCCGACUAAGUCAGACGUGAAAUCCCUCAGCUUAACUGGGGAACUGCGUCUGAUACUGGAUGGCUUGAGUUUGGGAGAGGGAUGCGGAAUUCCAGGUGUAGCGGUGAAAUGCGUAGAUAUCUGGAGGAACACCGGUGGCGAAGGCGGCAUCCUGGACCAACACUGACACUGAGGAGCGAAAGCCAGGGGAGCAAACGGG